UACGUAGGGUGCAAGCGUUUAAUCGGAAUUACUGGGCGUAAAGCGUGCGCAGGCGGUUUUGUAAGUCUGACGUGAAAUCCCCGGGCUUAACCUGGGAAUUGCGUUGGAGACUGCAAGGCUGGAGUCUGGCAGAGGGGGGGUAGAAUUCCACGUGUAGCAGUGAAAUGCGUAGAGAUGUGGAGGAACACCGAUGGCGAAGGGCAGCCCCCUGGGUCAAGACUGA
rnacentral:rRNA from 1 species